GGGGAGAAGGGCCUUUGGGAGAGGAGGGCUUCCCUUGCCUGGAAAUGCCUAGGAGCCACUCGCCACCCAUGCCCUCUCCUUUGCCCAGUCAGAGCCACCGCAGCCACCAGCCCCAUCGGAAAGGGGCUUAGGAAAAUCCAGGACACCGUGGCUCUGCUGUCCUGUGACCCUCACAGCUCCCUCCUGUCUCCUCAGAGGGGCAGCUAUUUUUGCAAUCCCAAAGCAUCACUUUUGGGAUGGGUUUAAUCCAACCGUGCUGCAGCAGAGGCUCAGGCAGGGUCCAGGUCUGAGUAUGGUGGUGCGUCCUAGUCCAUAGUUGUCUUGGUAACUGUAUUGACUUUCCGGCAUAAGUCAUGGAAACAUCAUUUGUGCGCCACUAACUUGGGGGUAUUCAGUUCUCCCAACUCCAAUCUCCAAUCUGCCUGUUUUCCAGAGAGGUCUGCAAGUGCUCUCUAGGGAGACGAAGCGGUGGGCCCUGCCCGGAUUCCAGUCUCAACACUGCUGCGUGGCUCUGAGCAAUUUCCUAGGAGUCUGUAGAAGUGGCUCCAGGGCACCGCCCUGGGGCUGCCUGGGCAGAGGUGCAGCUGUGCCUGCAAGCCCUUAACCUGAGCUGGGGUGAUGGAGGGGUGAGGGCUGGGAGUGGCGAGGGACGCUUUUUCUUCAAGAUUUUAUCUGUACCUCAACCUGCCCUCCCUGUGGUAGAUGAUGAUCAGGCCAGCAGAACAAGACUCAGGAGCCUUCCUAUGACUGGGAAGAAGAGACUUGCGUUAUUCACCAUUUACCUCCCAUGGCACCUGCUGAAACGCCAGGCCCUCUUGGAAGAGCUUGGCACAUAGCAGCUCACUGAAUCUUCAUGAUCACCCUGCAAAGGAGGCACAAUCAUCAUGCCCAUUUUACAGAUGGGCCAUACAGUGAUAGAA
rnacentral:lncRNA from 10 species